UACGAGGGGGGCAAGCGUUGUUCGGAAUUAUUGGGCGUAAAGGGCGCGUAGGCGGUUUGGCAAGUCUAGUGUGAAAUCUUCGGGCUCAACUCGAAGUCUGCACUGGAAACUGCCGGGCUUGAGUAUGGGAGAGGUGAGUGGAAUUUCCGGUGUAGCGGUGAAAUGCGUAGAUAUCGGGAGGAACACCUGUGGCGAAAGCGGCUCACUGGACCACAACUGACGCUGAGGCGCGAAAGCUAGGGGAGCAAACAGG
rnacentral:rRNA from 1 species